CCCUUAGAUGUCCUGGGCCGCACGCGCGCUACACUGAUACGUUCAACGAGCCUUCCUUGGUCGAGAGGCCUAGGUAAUCUUUUGAACGCGUAUCGUGAUAGGGAUAGAUCAUUGCAAUUAUUGAUCUUGAACGAGGAAUUCCUAGUAAACGCGAGUCAUCAGCUCGCAUUGAUUACGUCCCUGCCCUUUGUACACACCGCCCGUCGCACCUACCGAUUGAAUGGUCCGGUGAAGCCUCCGGAUUGGCGCGCACCUCGGUGCCGCCGAGAAGUUGGCUAAACCUUACCAUUUAGAGGAAGGUGAAGUCGUAACA
rnacentral:rRNA from 1 species